UACGUAGGGUGCAAGCGUUAAUCGGAAUUACUGGGCGUAAAGCGUGCGCAGGCGGCUUUGCAAGACAGAUGUGAAGUCCCCGGGCUCAACCUGGGAACUGCAUUUGUGACUGCAUGGCUAGAGUACGGUAGAGGGGGAUGGAAUUCCGCGUGUAGCAGUGAAAUGCGUAGAUAUGCGGAGGAACACCGAUGGCGAAGGCAAUCCCCUGGACCUGUACUGACGCUCAUGCACGAAAGCGUGGGGAGCAAACAGG
rnacentral:rRNA from 1 species